rnacentral:rRNA from 1 species
AGAGUUUGAUCCYGGYWMARGACGAACGCUGGCGGCGUGCCUAAUACAUGCAASUCGAACGGUCUUUUCUAUGGAAGCUUGCUUCCACUGAGAAGAUAGUGGCGAACGGGUGAGUAACACGUGGGUAACCUGCCCAUAAGAGGGGGAUAACAUCCGGAAACGGGUGCUAAUACCGCAUAGUUUUCUUGAUCGCAUGAUCGAGAAAGGAAGGACGGCCUUUGUGCUGUCGCUUAUGGAUGGACCCGCGGCGUAUUAGUUAGUUGGUGAGGUAAUGGCUCACCAAGACGAUGAUACGUAGCCGACCUGAGAGGGUGAUCGGCCACAUUGGGACUGAGACACGGCCCAAACUCCUACGGGAGGCAGCAGUAGGGAAUCUUCCGCAAUGGACGAAAGUCUGACGGAGCAACGCCGCGUGAGUGAAGAAGGUUUUCGGAUCGUAAAACUCUGUUGUCAGAGAAGAACAAGUCGGAGAGUAACUGCUCCGGCCUUGACGGUAUCUGACCAGAAAGCCACGGCUAACUACGUGCCAGCAGCCGCGGUAAUACGUAGGUGGCAAGCGUUAUCCGGAUUUAUUGGGCGUAAAGCGAGCGCAGGCGGUUCCUUAAGUCUGAUGUGAAAGCCCACGGCUCAACCGUGGAAGGUCAUUGGAAACUGGGGAACUUGAGUGCAGAAGAGGAGAGUGGAAUUCCAUGUGUAGCGGUGAAAUGCGUAGAUAUAUGGAGGAACACCAGUGGCGAAAGCGACUCUCUGGUCUGUAACUGACGCUGAGCUCGAAAGCGUGGGGAGCAAACAGGAUUAGAUACCCUGGUAGUCCACGCCGUAACGAUGAGUGCUAAGUGUUGGAGGGUUUCCACCCUUCAGUGCUGCAGCUAACSCAUUWAGCACUCCGCCUGGGGAGUACGGCCGCAGGCUGAAACUCAAGGGAAUUGACGGGGACCCGCACAGCGUGGAGCAUGUGUUUAAUUCGAGCACGCGARRACCUUACCAGGUCUUGACAUCCUUGACAAUCCUAGARAUAGGACUU